GACGAACGCUGGCGGCAGGCCUAACACAUGCAAGUCGAGCGAGCGGCGGACGGGUGAGUAAUGUAUGGGGACUGCCCGAUAGAGGGGGAUAACUACUGGAGACGGUGGCUAAUACCGCCUACUGUCGGAUAACCCAUAUGGGAUUAGCUAGUGGGUAAGGUAAUGGCUUACCUAGGCGACGAUCCCUAGCGGGUCUGAGAGGAUGAUCAGCCCAACUUGAACUGGGACACGGCCCAGACUCCUACGGAGGCAGCAGUGGGGAAUAUUGCACAAUGGGCGCAAGCCUGAUGCAGCCAUGCCGCGUGUAUGAAGAAGGCCUUAGGGUUGUAAAGUACUUUCAGUCGGGAGGCGUUACCGACAGAAGAAGCACCGGCUAACUCCGUGCCAGCAGCCGCGGUAAUAC
rnacentral:rRNA from 1 species